UUGGAGGGCAAGUCUGGUGCCAGCAGCCGCAUAAAUCCAGCUUCCAUAGCGUAUAAUAAAGGUGGUGCCAGUAAAAAAGCUGGUAGUGAAAUUUCGGAUCAAAUAUUUCGGUCAUGCCGUUGGUAUGCACUGUUAUCAUUGAUUUCUCACCUUCUAAAGAACCGUGAUGCCAUUAAUUUGGUGUUACGGGGAAUUAGGACUGUUACCUUGAAAAAAUUAGAGUGUUUAAAGCAGGCUCACGCUUGAAUACAUUAACAUGGAAUAAUGAAAUAGGACAUCCGAUUCUAUUUUGUUGGUUUCUAGGAUCGAUGUAAUGAUUAAUAGAGAUAGUUGGGGGCAUUAGUAUUCAAUUGUCAGAGGUGAAAUUCUUGGAUUUAUUGAAGACUAACUACUGCGAAAGCAUUUGCCAAGGAUGUUUUCAUUAAUCAAGAACGAAAGUUAGGGGAUCGAAGACGAUCAGAUACCGUCGUAGUCUUAACCAUAAACUAUGCCGACUAGGGAUCGGAUGAUGUUAAUUUUUUAAUGACUCAUUCGGCGCCUUACGGGAAAC
rnacentral:rRNA from 1 species